AUGCCAUGUAGAAAACUGCAAAAAUAAUGAUUCAAAGUCUGUGCAAAAAUGUUUCAAAAACUUUUUUCCAAAGUGUUCACACAAUGUUUUUAUAGGCCUUGCAAAACAGUCCAUGUCCCUUUGGCCUAGAAACAGUCCUGUUUAUGUGUACGUGCAUAUGUGUGCAGCAGUUCUUUGUUUUUUUUUAAAAGUUCUUUCACAGUCCAUAUGAACAAUUAGUGUGUGUACUAGUUGAUAUGAACAAUUAGUGUGCUCUCAAUCUCUGUUUCAGUUUCAGUUCACGUUUAAUACACAGAUGGUGGUCUUGGGUAGGGAAACACUGUUGGCACCCAAGGCGUAAAUGUAGGUGUCCACAUGUUAGGAAAGUGUGGAUCAUAUCCAGAACCAGUUACUUGCACUUUGUAACAGGUCUGUCACUUGACUCAAUUUCCUCUGGUACUUUCGCAGGUACAUGAGCAGGUGUGGGAACAUCUUGUUUCACUUCAGCUGUAGGUAACGGUUCUAGUUCAAACCGAUUCAGUGGAGAACUAUGUGAUGCACUCUGAUGAGCAGGCAACUCAGGAGGUGAAAACUGUAUUAGUGCUUCCUCUCGUCUCUGAUCAUAACCACUAGGUUGCUUUCUCACUUGGCAAGGCUCAACUGGUAUAUAAUACUCAGAGUCACUUUCACUUUCCAACUCACUUUCUUCCAUUCGGUUUGCAGGUAUGCUGGAGUUUCCCUGUGGCUGUCUCUGCUGUGAUUUGGGUUUUGGCGUUGGAUCGACUUCAAGAGGUAAGUAAUCGCAUGGCAUCAACAAGUUUCGGUGUAAUACUCGUGACCUCCCCUUUCCUCGCUCAGGCUUGAUCUCAUAAAUUGGCACAUCCUCAGCAACUCGGCGUACAACAACAUGAACUUGCUCUUC